rnacentral:rRNA from 1 species
UACGAAGGGGGCUAGCGUUGCUCGGAAUCACUGGGCGUAAAGCGCACGUAGGCGGAUUGUUAAGUCAGGGGUGAAAUCCUGGAGCUCAACUCCAGAACUGCCUUUGAUACUGGCGAUCUCGAGUCCGGGAGAGGUGAGUGGAACUGCGAGUGUAGCGGUGAAAUUCGUAGAUAUUCGCAAGAACACCAGUGGCGAAGGCGGCUCACUGGCCCGGUACUGACGCUGAGGUGCGAAAGCGUGGGGAGCAAACAGG